UUCAGAUUCAGUGAUAGAUAUUCCUCCCUCAAGUUUAGGAGAAACAUAUUAGAAAGCCAUAAAGUAUUUACUAACAAUUAAAACUAUUUAAUAGUAUACAUCUGUAUAUCUAGGAUGAUCUUAUUAUAUUGACUACUAACUUCUACAAAAGCAAAGUUAGUGUUUCUUUCUGGCCAUGUGGAGACAAUUGAUUCAAAUAAAUAACUUGAAAUUGAUGGAGAUCCUGCAUCUUAUUUUAUUGUGGCUUUAUUUUGGUAUUGUUUUCUUUUUUCUUUUUCUGUAAUUUUAGGGCAGCACCCGCAACAUAUGGAGGUUCCCAGGCUAGGUGUUGAAUCGGAGCUGUAGCCUCCAGGUUACACCACAGCCAUAACAAUGCCAGAUCCAAGCUGUGUCUGCGAUCUACACCACAGCUCACAGCAACACUCCAUAACCCAUUGAGCAAGGCCAGGAAUCAAACCUGUGUCCUCAUGGAUACGCGUCAGAUUCGCUUCUGCUGAGCGAUGACAGGAACUCCAUACUUUGGUAUUGCUUUCUGUUGUUUUUCUUGACAUUUUAGAAUAUACCUAUUUCCAUUUAAAUUUAAUAAUAUUUUAAAAAUUCAGGUCUUGUUAUCCAUUGAAGAUAAAAUAGAAGAAGGAAGGGAAGGAAGAAAGGAUAGAAGGAAGGAGAGAGAGAACGCAAGAAAGGAGAGAGAAAGAAAUUGAAGAUUCAGUGGAAGUCCACUCUAUUUCAGAGUCAGCACCACCAAUGAAAUGGAAUGAAGGAGAGAGGGCAGUGGUAGUCAAGGUCCUCUUCAGUCCCAAAUUGUCUUUUAAUAGUGGAGGAACCAUUGUUGGAUUACCUCCUCAUUUUCCUACAAGUCCUUCCCCCCCAGAGCUGCCACUCUGCUAUAUUCUUUCCUGAAAGCAAGAAGCAAUGAUGAAGAAAAAAUCCAGGGUUUGGUCAACAUGUGGAGGCAAUAUCCUUGUAUUUUGUUUCUGUACCAACAUAGACAUUUUAUUGAAACACUAUAAAAUUAUGUUUUAAGAAUAUUUGUAAAGUGUAAAUGUUAUUAAAACAAUGCUGAAGCACUGUGAUAUUAAUGCAUUAAAUGUAAAACAAUGAAUUAUGUAAAUUACUAUAAUUAAUAUUUAUGGAAAAAGAUCUUGCAGGUAUGCACUUCAAAACCCAC
rnacentral:lncRNA from 9 species